ACCAAGGAGUCUAACAUGCGCGCGAGUCGUUGGGUCGGACACGCUCCGCUAAACCCAUAGGCGCAAUGAAAGUGAAGGUUUCCCUUGCGGGACCGAGGGAGGACGGAGCCGCCUAGCCGCGGCUCCCGCACUCCCGGGGCGUCUGAUUCCUCUUUUUGAGGGAAGGCGCACCCAGAGCGCACACGUUGGGACCCGAAAGAUGGUGAACUAUA
rnacentral:rRNA from 1 species